AGAGCGAACGCUGGCGGCAGGCUUAACACAUGCAAGUCGAACGGAUCCUUCGGGAUUAGUGGCGGACGGGUGAGUAACACGUGGGAACGUGCCUUUAGGUUCGGAACAACACAGGGAAACUUGUGCUAAUACCGGAUGUGCCCUUCGGGGGAAAGAUUUAUCGCCUUUAGAGCGGCCCGCGUCUGAUUAGCUUGUUGGUGAGGUAAAGGCUCACCAAGGCUACGAUCAGUAGCUGGUCUGAGAGGAUGGCCAGCCACAUUGGGACUGAGACACGGCCCAAACUCCUACGGGAGGCAGCAGUGGGGAAUCUUGCGCAAUGGGGGAAACCCUGACGCAGCCAUGCCGCGUGGAUGAUGAAGGUCUUAGGAUUGUAAAAUCCUUUCAGCGGGACGAUAAUGACGGUACCGCAGAAGAACGCCCGGCUAACUUCGCGCCAGCACGCCGC
rnacentral:rRNA from 1 species